UCUAUACAUGACUCUGCGCAUAUCAAUAAGCGGAGGAAAAGUACUACCUACGCUUAGGAUGUUGACGAGACUGUCGAUCUCAUCUAUACAUGACUCUGUGCAUAUCAAUAAGCGGAGGAAAAGGCAUACCUACGCUUAGGAUGUUGACGAGACUGUCGAUCUCAUCUAUACAUGACUCUGCGCAUAUCAAUAAGCGGAGGAAAAGAAACUAACAAGGAUUCCCUUAGUAACGGCGAGUGAAGCGGGAAGAGCUCAAAUUUGAAAUCUUCAAGGUUCUACCUUGACGAAUUGUAGUUUAUAGAAGUGUUUUCUGUUAGUGGAGUGGCAAAAGUUCUUUGGAAUAGGACAUCAUAGAGGGUGAGAAUCCCGUAUUUGGUCAUUCCUCCUAGCGUUGUGAUACACUUUCAAAGAGUCGGAUUGUUUGGGAAUGCAGUCCAAAAUGGGUGGUAAAUUUCAUCUAAAGCUAAAUAUUGGCGAGAGACCGAUAGCGAACAAGUACCGUGAGGGAAAGAUGAAAAGAACUUUGAAAAGAGAGUUAAACAGUACGUGAAAUUGUCAAAAGGGAAGCGUUUGACACCAGUGUUGUUUAGUUGAAAAUCAAUUAAAUAUUUUUCGAUUUUAAGUAGUAUUGACCUUAUCAGCUUGCUGCUUUUUUCUCGGAAAUUAUUUAAUGCACUUUUCAGUUAACAAGUCAACAUCAAUUUCUUUUGUUGUAAAAGGGUACGAGGAAGGUGGCUUUCUUUUCGGAGAAAGUGUUUAUAGCCUUGUGCCUCUGCAAUCGGAGAGAUUGAGGUCUGCAGCGUAGAUCCUUCGGGGUUAGAUACAUUUGUGCUAAGUUAUAGCUUUUCAUAGACAACUUGUUGACUAUGUUUAGUCUUGUAGCUUACUCGCUUAUGCUAUUUUACCUACGCUUAGGAUGUUGACGAGACUGUCGAUCUC
rnacentral:rRNA from 1 species